rnacentral:lncRNA from 1 species
UUUCCUUCCUUUCUUGCUCCUGCCAUACACACGCAAACUCAGAACAUCACCAGGAGCAACAGAUGGCUUAGGCAUAAUUAAAUCAUUCAACUCUUCUCGGCCCCUCUCAUUUAUUUGAGUCUCCGGAACCAGGUUGAUAACUUCUGAGUCAGGUGAAGUUCCAGCAUCUGAGCACCUGUUACGGCCUCUCUCAUUUAUUUGAGUCUCCGGAACCAGGUUGAUAACUUCUGAGUCAGGUGAAGUUCCAGCAUCUGAGCACCUGUUAUCAAUUGAUGUCCCCUCCUCAGAAAAUGAGUCAUUGUGAUAGUCCAAGAGUUUGUCCGCUGGAUUUUGACUGAUCUUCUUUCCAGAUUGGCAUAUGUCUGAUACAGAAA